rnacentral:rRNA from 1 species
AUUGAACGCUGGCGGCAUGCCUUACACAUGCAAGUCGAACGGUAACGCGGGGCAACCUGGCGACGAGUGGCGAACGGGUGAGUAAUAUAUCGGAACGUGCCCAGUAGUGGGGGAUAGCCCGGCGAAAGCCGGAUUAAUACCGCAUGAGACCUGAGGGUGAAAGCGGGGGAUCGCAAGACCUCGCGCUAUUGGAGCGGCCGAUAUCAGAUUAGGUAGUUGGUGGGGUAAAGGCCUACCAAGCCGACGAUCUGCAGCUGGUCUGAGAGGACGACCAGCCACACUGGGACUGAGACACGGCCCAGACUCCUACGGGAGGCAGCAGUGGGGAAUAUUGGACAAUGGGCGAAAGCCUGAUCCAGCAAUGCCGCGUGAGUGAUGAAGGCCUUAGGGUUGUAAAGCUCUUUUACCAGGGAUGAUAAUGACAGUACCUGGAGAAUAAGCUCCGGCUAACUCCGUG